UUUACAUUUCAAGGUCACCUUGCACUCUGACAGAUGCCAGCCUUCCUCAUCUCCUGGAAAUUUUUCACGGAAUCAUAAUUUCUGUGGAAAUCUACAGGUGCCUUCUUUCUUGGUUCAGCCUCAGCAAUCACAGAAAGCUGCGACCCCCAGGAAUACAGCCAUGGCUCCAACAAAAUGAAAUGGCGGACGCUGGUCAGGAAGACACCCAUCAGAAGUUUUGUCAAAGCACUGGAAGACAUGUCCCCAAACAGAACAUCUACAAAAGAACGAACCUGAAGAUUGUUUAUUUCUGUUCAAAUGCUUUUAUCCUAAUGCUGUAUUCAUGCCUAUGAAGUCUCUUUCCUGCCCUAUGGUUGGUGCAGGAAAGGGUGUGUGACAGGUUGCUCCUUGAUUUUUUUCUAUUCUCAUGAUGAGAACUUGGUGCUGAAUGACUGGACUACAGUAAUUCCUCUUCAUCUUUGUGACAUUCAAGUCCUCAGCAGCUCACAUCCAGGCUGGAAUGGCCACCUACCUGGUCUUCCCAUCUCUAUUUUGUGAUAAGGCAGAGACAAGGAGCCUGUUGAUGUAGCCUACCCAGAUCAGCUUCCUGGGUCAGAGUGGAGAAGUGAGGUGAGUAGAUGGGGAGGAAUCCCAACCAACACCAACUCUACUAUUUGAAUGCUAUUCUUAUCCCAUUUUACAACUGAGGAAGCUGGGGCCCAGAGGUAGAUCCUCAAGAUUCCUACACAAGCAAUGCUCACUUCUACCUACAGGGUAUUAUUACUCUUAAUAGGAUUUGCAUGGAAGCUCUUAUGGCCUGGAUGCCUCACCACUGAAUGCCCAGCUUACUUAACUCUUCGCCCUUCGCAUCUUCACCCUUUUUCUACUGCACCAUUUAUAGUCAGAGCUGCAGAGGGCACAACUCAUUAUUCUCCUGGUUCCAUAAAUGUCUAGACUGCUGGAGUCAGAAAGAUAAAGGAGAGAGAGAGAGAGAGAGAGAGAGAG